GACAGAGGGGGCAAGCGUUGCUCGGAAUCACUGGGCGUAAAGGGCGCGUAGGCGGGAUGGCAAGUCAGUCGUGAAAUCUCUCGGCUCAACCGAGAAACGUCGGCUGAUACUGCCGUUCUUGAGGGAUGCAGAGGAGACUGGAAUUCCCGGUGUAGCGGUGAAAUGUGUAGAGAUCGGGAGGAACACCGGUGGCGAAGGCGGGUCUCUAGUACGGUACUGACGCUGAGACGCGAAAGCGUGGGGAGCGAACAGG
rnacentral:rRNA from 1 species